AGGUUUUGAAUGCAUUCAUCCAUGCCACCAUUGUGAGGAGUCAAGAGGAGUCUGGGAAAACAACUAUAUCUUGUUGACUCCUUUCAAAUGACUGCAAUGUGGAAAGGAUCAUUCAGGGGAUUAAACAAGCUUGACCCAAUGGCCUAUGAUGUCCUAAUAGGCCCGGUCUGUGACAAUCGGCACUGGACACUUGUGGUCAUUUAUCCAAAGGAGAAGC